GACGUAGGUGGCGACCGUUAUCCGGAAUUAUUGGGCGUAAAGGGUGCGUAGGUGGCCUGCCAAGUUAUCAGUGGCAAAUCGAGGCUCAACCUCGUGGAAACUGGUAAUACUGUUCGGCUUGAGUACAGGAGAGGUUAACGGAACUCUAUGUGGAGCGGUAAAAUGCACAGAUAUAUAGAAGAACAUCAAUAAAGGCGAAGGCAGUUAACUAUUCUGUUACUGACGCUGAGGCACGAAAGCGUGGGGAGCAAAACGG
rnacentral:rRNA from 1 species